CCUACGGGAGGCAGCAGUGGGGAAUCUUGCACAAUGGGCGAAAGCCUGAUGCAGCAACGCCGCGUGCGGGAAGAAGGCCCUCGGGUUGUAAACCGCUUUCAGAAGGAACGAAACUGACGGUACUUUCAGAAGAAGGUGCGGCCAACUACGUGCCAGCAGCCGCGGUGACACGUAGGCACCAAGCGUUGUCCGGAUUUAUUGGGCGUAAAGAGCUCGUAGGCGGUUCAGUAAGUCGGGUGUGAAAACUUUGGGCUUAACCCAAAGCGUGCAUCCGACACUGCUGUGACUUGAGUACGGUAGGGGAGCGGGGAAUUCCUAGUGUAGCGGUGAAAUGCGCAGAUAUUAGGAGGAACACCGGUGGCGAAGGCGCCGCUCUGGGCCGAAACUGACGCUGAGGAGCGAAAGCAUGGGUAGCAAACAGGAUUAGAUACCCUGGUAGUCCAUGCCGUAAACGUUGGGCACUAGGUGUGGGUUCCAACCAACGGAAUCCGCGCCGUCGCUAACGCAUUAAGUGCCCCGCCUGGGGAGUACGGCCGCAAGGUUAAAACUCAAAGGAAUUGACGG
rnacentral:rRNA from 1 species